rnacentral:lncRNA from 1 species
CUUAGGGGUAUUAAGGAUACAAUCAAAGUUACGUGGUAGCACUUCAAACAUUGGGAUAAUUUUGGAGAACCCCCACGUAAAGACAGGGAACACAGGGAUAUUGCACACAGCAAAUGGAAUCAGCACAAAUAAGGAAAGGUUUCACUUUUCCAUGCUCCUUCCCAGCAGUCAGGGUGAAAACUCUUCUCAAAGAUGGGGAGCAUCCCUCCCAUGAGGAAGCUGAGGUCCAGGAGGCUGAGGUGGCUUUGCCCGUGUGACACAGCCACUGCAGGAAGGGGAAUUGAUCCGCAGGCAGAGUGGGCUCACAGCCCGGGAUAACGCUGCUGCCACAGCCCAAAGCCCCGGGGUUUUCAUUCUCCUUCUAAUCACUGCCUUUCCUACAGAUACCUUUCCCAGCAGCUCACACCCCACCCCUGAGCACGUACCGCCCCUCGGGAAUCGCUGCUGCUCCCUCCAGAGCCGGCCUCGGCCGCGCACAGGUAAGACUGGGCUGGCUCUGCCCAGGUACGGCGGCGCUGCCCGGCUCCGGGCUGUGCUCCGGGCUCCGAGCUGUGCUCCGAGCUCCGGGCUGUGCUCCGGGCUGUGCUCCGAGCUCCGGGCUGUGCUCCGGGCUCCGGGCUGUGCUCCGGGCUCCGGGCUGUGCUCCGGGCUCCGCUCCGGGCGCCGGGCUGUGCUCCGGGCUNNNNNNNNNNGGCUGUGCUCCGGGCUCCGCUCCGGGCGCCGGGCUGUGCUCCGGGCUGUGCUCCGGGCUAUGCUCCGGGCUCCGCUCCGGGCUGUGCUCCGGGCUCCGCUCCGGGCUGUGCUCCGAGCUCCGGGCUCCGAGCUGUGCUCCGAGCUGUGCUCCGGACCCUGCUGUGCACCCCGCGGGGCUGCUGCAUUCACUAAUGAACUGUCAGACUCCCGAGGCCCGGCCGGGGCAGGGCUGCAGCGGGGCGGCUCCGGGCGCUGAGGGCGGCGGUGCCUGUGAAGCGGCGGCGCCGCGGUGCCCUAAGGGGCGCCCGCUCCAGCCCCCGCUCAUGCCGCUCUCCCAGGCCGGGUCGCGGGCAGGGCUGGAGGCGCGGCGCCGGGAUCCCUCGGGAUCCCUCCUUCCUUCGCUCCCCGCUCCCUCCCCAGCAGCGCCCCAGCCGCUCCCAAAUGGCGGCGGGGCGGGGCGGCCGAUCGGCAGCUCGGCGCUCCCGCGCCAGGCGAGGAGGCGGGAGCGGCGGGCAGGCGGGCGCAGGCACGGCGUGGAGCGCCGAGCGCGCGAUGGGCGGGGAUAAAUGUCUGCCUGGGCGCGGGGCCGCCAUUUUCUCUGAGGCGCGGAGCGAGCGGCGCCGGGCGGGACCGGGGCGCGGGGGACCCGCCGGGGGCCCGGGACACAGGUACGGGCGGUCCGGCAGCGCCAGGGCCGAGCGGGAGAACCGCUCCCUGUAUUUCCUCUCCUCGCAGCGCUCCGUUCC